CUGGAGGUAUCAGAAGUGCGAAUGCUGACAUAAGUAACGAUAAAGCGGGUGAAAAGCCCGCUCGCCGGAAGACCAAGGGUUCCUGUCCAACGUUAAUCGGGGCAGGGUGAGUCGACCCCUAAGGCGAGGCCGAAAGGCGUAGUCGAUGGGAAACGGGUUAAUAUUCCCGUACUUGGUGUUACUGCGAAGGGGGGACGGAGAAGGCUAUGUUGGCCGGGCGACGGUUGUCCCGGUUUAAGCGUGUAGGUGUGUGUUCCAGGUAAAUCCGGUUCACUUUAACACUGAGGCGUGACGACGAGGCACUACGGUGCUGAAGCAACAAAUGCCCUGCUUCCAGGAAAAGCCUCU
rnacentral:rRNA from 1 species